AAAUGCUCUCCUCCAUAUUUAAAAAGUGGGCAUGAGUUAGUUUAUGUACAUUCCUUUGAUCACAAGACAGAGGAAAGACUUGCUUUAAUUCAGCUAAACUGUAAAAUACAUCAUGUUCUGUUCAUCUUUACUGUUACUUCUGGCAAUGGCACACUGUAUUUCUUCAUUAGACCUCACUCAGCCUGAGUUUCUGACUGUUCGACCUGGAGACACUCUGACUAUCAACUGUAAAGUCUCUUAUUCAGUUACUAGUGAACAUACAGCCUGGAUUCGUCAGCCUGCAGGAAAAGCUCUGGAGUGGAUUGGGCAUAUAUCCAGCAGUGGAAGCUUGUACUACAAGGAUUCACUGAAAAACAAGUUCAGCAUCACCAGAGACACCUCCAGUAACACAAUCACACUGAAUGGGAAUAAUAUCCAAGCUCAAGACACAUCUGUGUAUUAUUGUGCCAGAUAAAGCACAGUGACAAACACAUUCAGUCUCCCUGU